UAACCGGAUUAGAUACCUUGGUAGUCCACGCCGUAAACGAUGAGUGAUAGCUGUUGGGUGGUUUACCAUUCAGUGGCGCAGCUAACGCAUUAAGCACUCUGCCUGGGGAGUACGGUCGCAAGAUUAAAACUCAAAGGAAUAGACGGGGGCCCGCACAAGCGGUGGAGCAUGUGGUUUAAUUUGAUGCAACGCGCAGAACCUUACCAGCCCUUGACAUGUAUAGGAGGAUAUCAGAGAUGGUAUUUUCUCUUUGGAGACCUUUACACAGGUGGUGCAUGGCGGUUGUCAGCUCGUGUCGUGAGAUGGUGGGUUAAGUCCCGCAACGAGCGCAACCCCUGCCUUUAGUUGCCAUCAAGUUUAGGUUUUUACCUAGAUGUUGGGUACUUUAUAGGGACUGCCGGUGAUAAGCCGGAGGAAGGUGGGGAUGACGUCAAGUCCUCAUGGCCCUUAUGGGGUGGGCUACACACGUGCUACAAUGGUGGUUACAAUGGGUUGCGAAGUCGUGAGGCGGAGCUAAUCCCCAAAAGCCAUCUCAGUUCGGAUUGCACUUUGCAACUAGAGUGCAUGAAGUUGGAAUCGCUAGUAAUCGCGGAUCAGCAUGCCGCGGUGAAUACGUUCUCGGGCCUUGUACACACCGCCCGUCACACCAUGGGAGUUGGUUUUGCCUGAAGACGGUGUGCUAACCGCAAGGAGGCAGCCGGCCCCGGUAGGGUCAGCGAAUGGGGUGAAGUCGUAACAAGGUAACCAAUU
rnacentral:rRNA from 1 species